CUGACCUAGACGUGAUCAAAUAAUAGCCAUGGCGGCGAACGAAACCACAAUAAAAUGAUGUGGUCGGACUGUUGAUUACGCGACGAAAAUGAAUCGACCUGCCAUCAGAAUCAGUUACCAAUUGCCAUCAUAGGAAUAUGUCAGCGUUUUUACAUCGUUUCGGUAUACUACAGAACGUGCCUUUCCCGAGUUAUAUCAUGAAUUGAAGUGACUCAGGCGACGGUAUGGCCGGGUAUACUAGUAAAGGCUUGAGAGCGAUCGAGGCACCAAGUCAGAAUGGCCGAGUGGUCUAAGGCGGCAGAUUUAAGCUCUGCUCCUCGAAAGAGGGCGUGGGUUCGAACCCCACUUCUGACACAGACUAUUUUUAUAAAAUAGUGUUAUAAGAUCAUUAUUUUAAUUUGUUGGAUACAUCCCGACACUGGCAAAAUCCUUAAACUGUGGAGUUGUUUGUAAGUGAAAACUACAAAAAUGUGCUGUCAAUAUUAGAUGGAGACUACUGUGGAUAACGUGAAGAAUUUCUAUUGAAAUUUUUAUUACUUGCGUUUGUAGAUUCCAGUUAGUAAUCUAGUAUGAAAUACCCAAGCCAAAUAAAUAUAAACUAUGAUUCUCCGUUUAGGAAUAAUUGAAACUAAAAUUGGAGAUGCCGGGGAUUGAACCCGGGGCCUUUCACAUGCGAAGCGAACGCUCUACCACUGAGCUACAUCCCCUACGAUCGCUUCGGCCACCUCCGAACUCAAGUCAUGGACCAGAAGCAUCUGCAAAAAUAGUAUAUUGAAUACUUAAUUACAUUAUCUAAUUCUGAACAAAGACACAUUAGCAAAGGAAUACUCCUCUAGUUACACAUCAAAAUUAAACCCGAAUUUUGUGAUGUGCAUAGAAAAGGGUGGACCGUGGUUAUAGAUAUAAUUUAUAUCUAUAGUACGGGUUGUAGGUAUGAUACUGAAGAUAAAUAAGAUAGAUUGGUAGUUGUUUAAAGUUAGAUAGCGAGUACUCUAUAUUAUUAACUGUUGUAGUUAGCUGCGAAACAGCCGGCGAGUAAAUGCGGUGCCCAUUAGGAUUAGCCUGUAUAGACUGCUACACUAAGUGGUUCAAUAAUCCAAGGUGAUUGUGAAGGCAGUCACGAUUCUAAUAUCUAGCCUAAUAUUACAGGAUUCUUGAUUUAUUAAUUUAGUACUUUUUAUUUGGGAAAGAGGAACCAGCUGUUUGAAAUUCAUUUGUUAUUUUAUUGCUAUUUUAUUCGGAGUUAAAGUUUUCACAUGUUUCAAAGCUUAUUUGUCGCAGUAUCGCUUAAAUACGAUCUAAACUUUCCAUAACACAGAUGACCCGUUAGCAGCACAUUGGCAUAUUAUUGUCUCGACCACUCAAAAAUAAGCGGAAAAUGUUUUCCAAAAAAUUGCCGAAUGCUGAUAACGUCUGUUUGAGUACCGAUAAUCCACGGGGAUGUAGCUCAGUGGUAGAGCGUUCGCUUUGCAUGUGAAAGGCCCCGGGUUCGAUCCCCGGCAUCUCCACUUGUUUUGUCGUUUCUUUUCGAAAUUAAGUAAAGGUUACAUCUUAUCGUCUAUACUGAAAUAUAUCACCUACAGAAAUGCCUCACAUUUAAUAUUCGCACCAAAUGGCAAAAUAUCACACACAUCUCUUGAAAAUAUAUGUACUUUACGCAGUGUUCGACUUAGCAUGGAGGCUAAAUUUGCAACAAUUCAUUUAAAAAACCCUGAUUGAGUGGCGAUUCUACUUGCGCAUGUAAUAUAUAUCCAUUAAGCUCAAUCCAAGUAAUAAAUGGUAGUUUAUUUUUGCCCUUCUAUAAAUGCGUAACAUGGUAAAUUUGUCAUUUUCAAUGGGCUAUAGAACAGACACUCAUUGAUGCUCGCGUUGGUGACGUCUUUAAAUUAGACUGCAGCGCCCUCUGUGAUGACUGCACGAAUCAGCCAUUCACGGAGGUACCUCUAGAUAACAGCCUUUAUGAUAUAAUGAUGUUUUGGCAUCUCAUCAUAGCCAGGAUGCGUCAAUAAGUUGAAGAAUAUUGCAUCAAAAUCAUUUAGCUUUUUAAAGGUGGUCGAUGGAAUGAGAGAAUGUUUCAAGCGGUUGUAAGAACUGCUGAUCAGGAACAUACAGAUUUCGAGAAAUGUCUCCAAAUACAGACGACACCCAGGCCUUGAAAUCAUUUUGGCUUUUUGUGCAAUGGGCGGGCGCCUUGAUCAGAUCAUGGCCAAUAUUAAUACGCUUUACUAGAGUGUGGACAUCACCCACGCCGAUGUUGUUAUUCACACUAGCGCCAAAGUUCACUGGGUUCUUCGAAAGGGGUCGCAUCGAAUAAUGGCCCGACAAAGUGUACGAGGUGGCUACUGCGGCAUCAUUGCAGCUGGAAGUCCGGUGACAGCCACAUCUAAAGGCUUAAAGUGGAAUCUCAACUCCGCGGGAUUGGCGUUCUGAAGACAUGUGAGCACCUUAAAGAGUAUUACAAACGAUGAAGCGGAAAUAGAAGUGACAGAUGAUGUACCAUGGACAAUGACGCUUAUCUAGCCUAUUAACACUGACAAUACCUAUAUGCAUAUAACCUGGUUUCUCAUAGAUAUGUUACACAUAAGAUAAUAAG